CGGGACGUGGCGCAGCUUGGUAGCGCACACGGCUGGGGGCCGUGCGGUCGCUGGUUCGAAUCCAGUCGUCCCGACCA
rnacentral:tRNA from 1 species